GAUGAACGCUGGCGGCGUGCCUAAUACAUGCAAGUCGAACGAAACUUCUUUAUCACCGAGUGCUUGCACUCACCGAUAAAGAGUUGAGUGGCGAACGGGUGAGUAACACGUGGGCAACCUGCCCAAAAGAGGGGGAUAACACUUGGAAACAGGUGCUAAUACCGCAUAACCAUAGUUACCGCAUGGUAACUAUGUAAAAGGUGGCUAUACUACCGCUUUUGGAUGGGUCCACGGCGCAUUAGCUAGUUGGUAGGGUAAAGGCUUACCAAGGCAAUGAUUCGUAGCCGAAUUGAGAGGUUGAUCGGCCACAUUGGGACUGAGACACGGCCCAAACUCCUACGGGAGGCAGCAGUAGGGAAUCUUCCACAAUGGGCGAAAGCCUGAUGGAGCAACGCCGCGUGGGUGAAGAAGGUCUUCGGAUCGUAAAACCCUGUUGUUAGAGAAGAAAGUGCGUGAGAGUAACUGUUCACGUUUCGACGGUAUCUAACCAGAAAGCCACUGCUAACUACGUG
rnacentral:rRNA from 1 species